rnacentral:rRNA from 1 species
GACGAACGCUGGCGGCGUGCUUAACACAUGCAAGUCGAACGAAGUGGCGAACGGGUGAGUAACGCGUAAUCAACCUGCCCUUCAGAGGGGGACAACAGUUGGAAACGACUGCUAAUACAGCAAACUGAAGGAGGGGAUUGCGUCUGAUUAGCUAGUUGGAGGGGUAACGGCCACACAAGGCGAUGGUCAGUAACCGGUCUGAGAGGAGGAACGGCCAAAUCUGGACUGAGGAACGGCCCCGACGCCUACGGGAGGCAGCAGUUGGGAAUAUUCCGACAUGGGCGACAGGCUGAAGGAGCCAAGCCGCGUGAGUGAUGUCGGCCUUUGGGGUGUAAAGCUAUGUUAAUCGGGAAGCGGUACCGGAAUAGAAAGCCACGGCUAACUACGUGCCAGCAGCCGCGGUAAUUC